AACUGGCCUGAUCGACAGACAAGCUGGGUGAUAAGAGAAGACAGAGGAGGGAAAUGGCAAAUGAAGAAAGUCAUUCUCUGGCUCCUUGGAGUAUAGCUCAGAACUCCACAUUUGGAGGAAGUCAUUUCCAGAUUCAAUUUUGCUACCUGUGACGAUCUGAUUUUUACAAAUACAAGGAACGGGUAGUAUCAUUUUAGGUCAAAGGAUGGAGAGAUGGAGAGGGGAGAAGGAAGAGACAAGAAAAGAGAAAAGGAGACUCAGCAAACUCUCCCAGGUGGGACGGCAGAGAUCGAGGGAAGCGAAGGCUUAGUGUUCAGAGGCUGGCGGCGACGUUGACAGAAACUCGGUCUGGGGACAGAAGAGAGCGUCUUUCAGGAGUGCAAUUAGCUGUCAGGUCUCAGAGGACCCGUCGCCGGAAUAUCACUCUGCGUGGCUGCAGGAGGGGAGCGGGUCGCCUGGAGGCCUGGGGCAGGCUGGGUGCGCUCUGGCACGCGGGGCUGCUGACGUCAGGACUUCGAACGGCCCUGAGCCCGGCCGACGUGAGGUCCAGGGCAACCGCGCUGCCUGCUCUUGCCGAGCUCGUACAUGUCCGGCCACUUGGAGCGUCUUCGGACCCGCCGGGCGCUGAGCCCCACCUUGCGGGAGGCCGCUGAGCGGCCGCGGCGUGAACCGGCGCGUGCAGGUGGACGCGCGGCCCGGGGCCGUCCACUAACCGAGCCUCGGCGCUAGCGCGGGUGGCCGCACGACGUCGGCGAGUCUCUUUCGUCCCUUUAACUUUCCACCGGGACGUGGCCAAUAAAUAACAAUAAAACGUCUGCUUAGUUUCGUGGUCGCACUC